rnacentral:rRNA from 1 species
CUACGGGGUGCUGCAGUGGGGAAUAUUGCACAAUGAGCGAAAGCUUGAUGCAGCCAUACCGCGUGUGUGAAGAAGGCCCGAGGGUUGUAAAGCACUUUCAAUUGUGAGGAAGAUAGUAUAGUUAAUACCUGUAUUGUUUGACGUUAACUUUAGAAGAAGCACCGGCUAACUCUGUGCCAGCAGCCGCGGUAAUACAGAGGGUGCAAGCGUUAUUCGGAAUUACUGGGCGUAAAGCGCGCGUAGGCGGACUAUUAAGUCAGUUGUGAAAGCCCUGGGCUCAACCUGGGAACUGCAUCUGAUACUGGUAGUCUAGAGUUUAAGAGAGGGAAGUGGAAUUGCAGGUGUAGCAGUGAAAUGCGUAGAUAUCUGGAGGAACAUCAGUGGCGAAGGCGACUUCCUGGCUUAAAACUGACGCUGAGGUGCGAAAGCGUGGGUAGCGAACGGGAUUAGAUACCCCAGUAGUC